GAUGAACGCUGGCGGCGUGCCUAAUACAUGCCAGUCGAGCGAACAGACGAGGAGCUUGCUCCUCUGACGUUAGCGGCGGACGGGUGAGUAACACGUGGAUAACCUACCUAUAAGACUGGGAUAACUUCGGGAAACCGGAGCUAAUACCGGAUAAUAUAUUGAACCGCAUGGUUCAAUAGUGAAAGACGGUUUUGCUGUCACUUAUAGAUGGAUCCGCGCCGCAUUAGCUAGUUGGUAAGGUAACGGCUUACCAAGGCAACGAUGCGUAGCCGACCUGAGAGGGUGAUCGGCCACACUGGAACUGAGACACGGUCCAGACUCCUACGGGAGGAAGCAGUAGGGAAUCUUCCGCAAUGGGCGAAAGCCUGACGGAGCAACGCCGCGUGAGUGAUGAAGGUCUUCGGAUCGUAAAACUAUGUUAUUAGGGAAGAACAAAUGUGUAAGUAACUAUGCACGUCUUGACGGUACCUAAUCAGAAAGCCACGGCUAACUACGUG
rnacentral:rRNA from 1 species